rnacentral:rRNA from 1 species
GACGAACGCUGGCGGCGUGCUUAACACAUGCAAGUCGAACGAUGAAGAAGAGCUUGCUCUUCGGAUUAGUGGCGAACGGGUGAGUAACACGUGACUAACCUGCCCCUUUCUCUGGGAUAACGCUCCGAAAGGAGUGCUAAUACCGGAUACUCACAUCGAGGCACAUGCCUUGAUGUGGAAAGUUUUUCGGAAAGGGAUGGAGUCGCGGCCUAUCAGCUUGUUGGUGAGGUAACGGCUCACCAAGGCGACGACGGGUAGCCGGCCUGAGAGGGCGACCGGCCACACUGGGACUGAGACACGGCCCAGACUCCUACGGGAGGCAGCAGUGGGGAAUAUUGCACAAUGGGCGAAAGCCUGAUGCAGCGACGCCGCGUGAGGGAUGAAGGUCUUCGGAUUGUAAACCUCUUUCAGUAGGGACGAAGCGAAAGUGACGGUACCUAAAGAAGAAGCACCGGCUAACUACGUGCCAGCCGCCGCCGUAA